AAGGAAGGACAGAAAUCAGUAAGUGCUGCUAACACUUAUGACCCGAAGUUAAAAUCCUCGGCUUCUUUA
rnacentral:tRNA from 1 species